AGCAGCCGCGGUAAUUCCAGCUCCAAUAGCGUAUAUUAAAGUUGUUGCAGUUAAAAAGCUCGUAGUUGAAUUUCGAGAUCAAAUUGUUGGUCGUGCCUUGGUACGUACUGACAUUAUUGGUUUCUCCCUUCUGAAGAACCAUGAUGUCAUUAAUUUGGUGUCAUGGGGAAUCAGGACUGUUACUUUGAAAAAUUAGAGUGUUUAAAGCAGGCUCGCGCUUGAAUACAUUAGCAUGGAAUAAUGAAAUAGGACGUUUAAUUCUAUUUUGUUGGUUUCUAGGAUUGACGUAAUGAUUAAUAGGGAUAGUUGGGGGCAUUAGUAUUCAAUUGUCAGAGGUGAAAUUCUUGGAUUUAUUGAAGACUAACUACUGCGAAAGCAUUUGCCAAGGAUGUUUUCAUUAAUCAAGAACGAAAGUUAGGGGAUCGAAGACGAUCAGAUACCGUCGUAGUC
rnacentral:rRNA from 1 species